rnacentral:lncRNA from 1 species
UUUUAAUGUUGAAUUUUCAAAAAGUUUUAUCUCUUGAACUAUAAAUCCAAUUGACGAUCCAUUUUCACCGUUAGCUUUCUCGAAACGAGAUCUUUAAAACUAGAUCCCAUGUCGACAUGUUUCGACAACUUUUUUUUCAUUGAUAGUUGUCAGAUUACUAUUACUUAGUUGUUAGAUUAUGAGACACUUAGUAGCCAUAUUUAAUUAACCUAGUUGUCAACUUGGCAACUAUGUGUAUAGAUUUCUGUCAGCUAUGCUUGUUUAAACCCGACGAC